rnacentral:rRNA from 1 species
UGCACCUACGGGACGCAGCAGUAGGGAAUAUUGCUCAAUGGGGGAAACCCUGAAGCAGCAACGCCGCGUGAGUGAGGAAGUAUUUCGGUAUGUAAAGCUCUCUCAGCAGGGAAGAAAAUGACGGUACCUGACUAAGAAGCCCCGGCUAACUACGUGCCAGCAGCCGCGGUAAUACGUAGGGGGCAAGCGUUAUCCGGAUUUACUGGGUGUAAAGGGAGCGUAGACGGAGGAGCAAGUCUGAUGUGAAAAUCCGGGGCCCAACCCCGGAACUGCAUUGGAAACUGUUUAUCUAGAGUGUCGGAGAG